ACUGAAGGCUCACAAUUUCAUUAUUCAAAAUGCAGUACACACGCUUUCUUCCCUAAUCCUUUUAUUCAAAACCAAAGACUCAGUCGCCGUUGAACACUAUGAGCGGUUGCUGUCGGAAGUUGUCUUCUCCUCAUUAUCACUAAUCAUCGUGCUCGGAGCUAUUGCGUCGCAGGCUCCAUCGUCGUCGUUAAGCAAGUUUUCAUCCAAGUCGUCGUCGGGCCCGAAAUUGACGACUUUCUCUCGUCGUCAAGCCUCUGUCCGAGUCCAUAUCCUUCUUCUUUCGCCCUCACUUUCCGUCCUUCCUCACUGUUGGAAUUUAAGAUGUUCAGAAAAGUUCGUUACACAAAAAAGUUAAUAUUGGAAACACCAUGUCGGCAGCCUCCAACGGAAGCUCCUGCAUCUUUAUCCUCCACUGAUCAUGACUGGCUCAUUCCCCUGCCCAGUGAUGGUGGUAUCCCUGUAGUUAGGGGUGGAAAAUG